GUUAAAGAUAAGGUCGCUACAGGUUAUCUUUGUGGGCCAACAAUUGGUGAAAGUGUAAAUAAGGAAGGGGUAGAAAACUCAUAUAAUAGUAAUGUGUAUGAAGGGGACCAACAAAGAGCUGCUCAAUCUGAGAAUAUUCAUAUUGAAGUUGGUGUGGAUGAAGAGUAACAACAAGCUGCCCAAUCGGAUAGUAUUAAUGUUGAAGUUGGUGUAGAUGAUGCAUCAGAUCUUAAAGGUGUUGAAACUGAUUGGGAUUGCAGUGAUGAUUCACAAGAGUAUUUUAUUCCAGAUGAAGAUGACUCAGAGAUUGAUGAAGAGUUGAGAAAUCUUAGAAAUGAAAGGAGAACCAAAUUGUAGGAAAAAAAAAACAAUUCCUACAGAGGAAAUAACUAUUAGAGUUGCUGGUGUUGACAGGGGAUUUAAAGACAUUGGAAGGAACAAAACUGCUAGGUAUGUAGGAAGAUUGGGGGGAGAUGAACAAUAUAUUGAUAGUUCAGAACUGGAUAGUGAUGAUAGUAGGGAUGAAUUAGAUCCUGAAGUUGUGGAAGGUGUUGAUUUACCAGCUAAAAUAAAAAGUAAAAAGGUUAGAUUUGAUCCUGAUUGUGAGGCCUAAUGAAAAAUAUAGAGUCAGAGUUAAAUAUCAACAUAAGAAAUGCAAAUGGUUGUUGUAUGCUAGUCUAGACAAAGACUCUGGUGACUUUAUUGUUAAGAACUACUAUCAUGUUCAUCAGUGUAUCAAGAACAAGUUGUGUACAUCUAACUUUAUUGCAAAUAAGUUUAGGGACAGAAUAGUUUCUCAACCUCAUAUAAAGUUGUGGGAAAUUCAAGAGUUGGUAAGAAAGGAGACAAGAUUGUAUGUUGGAAGAACUCUUUGUUAUAGGCAAAAUUGAUGAUUCUUAAGGAGUUUAUGGGUGAUUAGAAGAUGGAGUCUGCAAGGUUGUGUGAUUAUGCAGACAUGAUAAAACAAACUAAUUCUGGUAGUUCAUAUUGGGUGAGGACAGACAUAAAAUCUACUCCAGGAAAAAAUUUAUUUGUUUACUUUUAUGUUUGUUUUGAUGCAUUAAGGAGAGGUUGGUUGGGAAGAUGUAGAAAAAUCAUUGGGUUUGAUGGAUGUUUUCUUAAGUGUGCUUGAAAGGGUGAAUUAUUGGUUGCCGUUGGUAGGAAUGGAAAUCAACAAAUGUUUCCAAUUGCUUGGGCAAUUGUUGAUUAAGAAACAAAGCACAGUUAGAGUUUCUUCAUCAAUUUCUUGAUACAAGAUCUAAACUUAGGCACUGGACACGGAUUGACUGUGAUGUCUGAUAUGCAAAAGGGUCUUGUAGCAGCCAUAAUGGAGUUUCUGCUAGAUUGUGAGCAGAUGAUGUGUGCUAGACACAUUUGGUCCAAUUGGCAGAAGACCUGGAGAGGAGAAGAAAGAAGAAAACAUUUCCGGAGAUAUGCAAAAUCAAGUUUUGAGGUAAAAUUUCAAGAUGAAAUGGACAAACUUGCUAAACUUGGUAAUAAGAACAUCUGUGGGGACUUGUUACAUUAUGAAAGAAAGACAUGGUGUAAAGCAUAUUUUAAGGAGCAUUCUUAGUUUGAUAUUGUUGAGAAUAAUAUGUGUGAGACAUUUAAAUCUUGGAUAUUAGCUGCUAGGCAUAAAUCAAUUUUCACCAUGUUAGAGGAGAUUAGACAUAAUAUAAUGGAUAGAAAUGUGGAGAUGAGAAAAUUUGUUGAGACUUGGAUAUCAGAAAUUUCUCCUAUGGCUAGUUUAGUACUUGAAGAAAACAAAGAUUAUGCUAGAGAUUGUCAAGUUAGGUUCAAUGGCCAAUUUGGAUAUGAAAUUUUAGAGGGUCAUUGUAGGCAUAUUGCUGAUAUCAGAAAAAAGACAUGUACUUGUAGAACCUGGCAGUUGAGAGGCAUACCAUGUCAACAUAUUAUUUUGGCAUAUCAGCAUGCAGGUCAAGACCCUGAAGAUCAUGUUGUACAUUGUUACAAAAAAGAUACUUUCAUGAAGGCUUAUAAUUACUUUAUUCAUUCAAUACCUAACAUGAAAAUGUGGCCUCACACUAGUGAUAUAGUGAUUGAGCCUCCUGAACCAAAAAAAAUGCCUGGCAGACCACCAAAAUCCAGAAGAAAGUCAAGGGAUGAGCCAAGAAAGAAGUAUGAGAAGUUAUCUAGGAGAGGUGUAAAAUGACUUGCUCCAAGUGUCAUCAACAUAGCUACAAUAAUAAAGCCUGCAAAUAUGUGCCUAGAAGCUCAACCCAACCUGGACCUGGAAGGUCAAGCUAACCUGCAAACUCAAGCCAACCUGCUAGCUCAAGUCAGCCUCAAACCUCUAGGCAACCUGCAAGCUCAAGCCACACUGCUAGCUCAAAUCAGCCUCAAAGGUCAAGGCAACCUGCAAGCUCAAGUCAACCUCAAACCUCAAGGCAACCUGCAAGCUCAAGCCACCCUCCUAUUUCAAGUCAGCCUCAAAAGUCAAGGCAACCUGCAAGCUCAAGUCAGCCUCAAACCUCAAGGCUACCCGCAAGCUCAAGUCAGCCUCAAACCUCAAGGCUACCCGCAAGCUCAAGUCAGCCUAAAACCUCAAGGCAACCUGCAAGCUUAAGCCAAACUGCUAGCUCAAGUCAUCCUCAAAGCUCAAGGCAACCUGUAGGUUCUAGCCAACCACCAACCUGGAGACCAUCACAACAUGUCAGCUCAGGCCAACAAUCAACUUCUAUUUGUGAUGAUACUUCAACUGUUGAUAGAGUUCAACAAGCUGGAAGAGGCAAGGGAAGAGGCAGGGGAAAAGGUAGGGGGAGAGGAGGUGAUGAUACUUCAACUGUUACAAAAGGGCAACAAGCAUAAAGAGGUAUGGGAAGAGAAGGAGAAUCAACAUCAAUAGGAGGAAACAAAUGGCCUAAGACUGUGGGAUUUGGCAUCUACAUUGAUGAUACAAGUGGCAGACAAACAUUAAAUGUGAAAGAGUUGUUACUCUAGCUGUUUUCAAGUGUGCAACACCAACAAACAUUUAUAUUGGUUAUAAGCCUCGUGGACUGAAAUGGAAGGGUAAAGAUGCUGUCACCACUUCACAAUUACAACGCAAGUCCAAAAGGGGUGGAUCUGCAAAUGUCUAGUGCAACAAAAAUAAGAAUAUGAGUGUGACUACUUUAAUGUGUCUUGGGUGUUUUUGAUGUACUCUUGGGGGUUAUUUUAUUGUGAAUCUGUAAUGCAAGCAGGAAACAAUACUAAGACUGCUUUAAUAUGUUUUUGAUGUAAAUUAUAACUAAUGAUUUAACUGUGGAUUUUCUUGCAAGGAAAUGCAAAGUAUUUUUUGUCUAUCA